rnacentral:lncRNA from 1 species
UCGAGCUCAUAGACCAGAGAGCCGAGACCAGAGAGCCGAGACCAGAGAGCCGAGACUAGAAGGCCGAGACCAGAGAGCCGAGACCAGAGGCCGAGACCAGAAGGCCGAGACCAGAGAGCCGAGACCAGAGAGCCGAGACCAGAAGGCCGAGACCAGAAGGCCGAGCACAGCAGGCCGAGCCCAUGCCUUAGCCAAAUAUCCCAUUUCCACCUAACCCUCUAAGGGACCUGACAACUCCACUAUAACCUGCCACUAUCUCCAAGCCAUCAAGACAUAAGAUCUUCGCAGGUAUUCGGCACGACCUGCCAUUAAUGCACGAGACUCUCUCAAGUCUCCGAUGCACUCAGUCAUUUAAUGAACACGGCCCAAGACGAUCUCCGGAUCACUGAACCAUCAGAACGUAUGGCUCUCCCUGACCGCCGGUUCAUUCGGUAAUAAAUGCACUUACCAUCCACGGACCCCAGGCCCACCACAGCCGGCGGUUCAACCACUCCAACAGGUCCGAUCGACCGUGACAACUCCCUGAUUCCGGUCUGAUCC